rnacentral:rRNA from 1 species
GGCUCAGAUUGAACGCUGGCGGCAGGCCUAACACAUGCAAGUCGAGCGGUAGCACAGAGAGCUUGCUCUCGGGUGACGAGCGGCGGACGGGUGAGUAAUGUCUGGGAAACUGCCUGAUGGAGGGGGAUAACUACUGGAAACGGUAGCUAAUACCGCAUAACGUCGCAAGACCAAAGUGGGGGACCUUCGGGCCUCAUGCCAUCAGAUGUGCCCAGAUGGGAUUAGCUAGUAGGUGGGGUAACGGCUCACCUAGGCGACGAUCCCUAGCUGGUCUGAGAGGAUGACCAGCCACACUGGAACUGAGACACGGUCCAGACUCCUACGGGAGGCAGCAGUGGGGAAUAUUGCACAAUGGGCGCAAGCCUGAUGCAGCCAUGCCGCGUGUGUGAAGAAGGCCUUCGGGUUGUAAAGCACUUUCAGCGGGGAGGAAGGCGGUGAGGUUAAUAACCUCAUCGAUUGACGUUACCCGCAGAAGAAGCACCGGCUAACUCCGUGCCAGCAGCCGCGGUAAUACGGAGGGUGCAAGCGUUAAUCGGAAUUACUGGGCGUAAAGCGCACGCAGGCGGUCUGUCAAGUCGGAUGUGAAAUCCCCGGGCUCAACCUGGGAACUGCAUUCGAAACUGGCAGGCUAGAGUCUUGUAGAGGGGGGUAGAAUUCCAGGUGUAGCGGUGAAAUGCGUAGAGAUCUGGAGGAAUACCGGUGGCGAAGGCGGCCCCCUGGACAAAGACUGACGCUCAGGUGCGAAAGCGUGGGGAGCAAACAGGAUUAGAUACCCUGGUAGUCCACGCCGUAAACGAUGUCGAUUUGGAGGUUGUGCCCUUGAGGCGUGGCUUCCGGAGCUAACGCGUUAAAUCGACCGCCUGGGGAGUACGGCCGCAAGGUUAAAACUCAAAUGAAUUGACGGGGGCCCGCACAAGCGGUGGAGCAUGUGGUUUAAUUCGAUGCAACGCGAAGAACCUUACCUGGUCUUGACAUCCACAGAACUUUCCAGAGAUGGAUUGGUGCCUUCGGGAACUGUGAGACAGGUGCUGCAUGGCUGUCGUCAGCUCGUGUUGUGAAAUGUUGGGUUAAGUCCCGCAACGAGCGCAACCCUUAUCCUUUGUUGCCAGCGGUUAGGCCGGGAACUCAAAGGAGACUGCCAGUGAUAAACUGGAGGAAGGUGGGGAUGACGUCAAGUCAUCAUGGCCCUUACGACCAGGGCUACACACGUGCUACAAUGGCAUAUACAAAGAGAAGCGACCUCGCGAGAGCAAGCGGACCUCAUAAAGUAUGUCGUAGUCCGGAUUGGAGUCUGCAACUCGACUCCAUGAAGUCGGAAUCGCUAGUAAUCGUAGAUCAGAAUGCUACGGUGAAUACGUUCCCGGGCCUUGUACACACCGCCCGUCACACCAUGGGGAGUGGGUUGCAAAAGAAGUAGGUAGCUUAACCUUCGGGAGGGCGCUUACCACUUUGUGAUUCAUGACUGGGUGACGAU